AUUUGACCGAAAGUCAGUGUGUGUGAGAGUGUUACUCGAAGAUCAUAUUUGGUGAUACCUACUUAUUUGGGUUGAUCAUCAGGAUGCAGGAUCAAGGACCUAAUAAGGAUUAGUGUGCGCUUGGGGAGCGGUUGAUGGAGGUAUAUGGCGAUAACAUGACUUGAACCGGAUGCAGUGCAUCAAGAAGCCAACGGAGAGUG